CCUCCUCCUCCUCCUCCUCCUCCUCCUCCUCCUCCUCCUCCUCCUCCUCCUCCAUGAUCGCCAUUGUUGUCUCAGUAGUACUAAAUAGGAGAAUUGGUGGAGGUAGGCAUAAAUUGGUUUUAAGUAGGGCCUGGUUACACACACACACACACACACACACACACACACACACACACACACACACACACACACACACACACACACACACACACACACACACACACACACACACACACACACACACACACACACACACACACACACACACACA